UCUCAAUAGAUUUGUUCACUCUCCUUACAAAAAAAAAAAGAAAUGUUAAACUAAUUAGGCUUGAGAUGUUAAAUUACAUGGGAAACAUUGUCAAAUAAGUGAUGCCAAACCUUCCUAGAUUAUAUUUGUGUAGAUGUAUUAUUAAUAAGUGUUCUAAAAUUAUAUGAAAUUCUUGGAAAUCUGACAUGUCCUGGUAUAAUGAUUAGACAUAAUUCUACUUUUUAUUUAAAAAUGUUUUAUGUUACAGAAAUAACCGAAUUUCCUUGUUCAUUCCAUUAUGAUGAACUCUCAUCAGAUCUUUAACCAAGGGCAUUUUUAAGUCUUUUUGUCAUUUACAGUUAUUAUCUUACUUUGAUGCUUUGUAAAAGUGUUUCCGCAAAAGUACUUUAUCUUCAAGAAGAUUCAAGGAAAGAAUUUGUGAGAUGUUUCUGUAACUUUGAGAUCAUAAACCUAAAUGGGGUAAGAAUUUCCAGAACCAACUGAAAAACUGGACUCAAGAAUAUGAAUUAAUUACAUGGGCCUGAAAGAACUGAAGAGGAAAAUUAUAAUUUUUAAUAACUUGUUUGAAACAGUACCAGUUCUUUAAUGUGCUGUUUUUCCAGAUUUAAGAAAACUUUUCCUGUUAAGCUAUCAAUAAGAUGCAACAAUUUGGUAAAAAUAUACCAUUGAAAACAAAGAUGAAACAUUUACUUUUACUCUCUCCCUGAUUCUUCUGGAAUUUGGAAACCCUUGAGUGUUCUUUUCCUGGCAAAACAGUUAGUUAUGUAAGUUCAAUAAGAAUUGGUCCUUGUAACAGGGCACAAUUGGAAACGUUGGUUAUGUUACCGAGGUUUUAAUUGGAAUGUCAUAUUUGAGAGAAAUGGGUAUAGACUCAUAUAUGACCAGUUUUGGGGAACUAAGGUUGGCUUUAUGCAGCCAAUAAUGCCUGCUGGAAAAUCAAUCUGUGUACCUUGCUUAGAGGUUCCAGCAAAGCAGUUUUAGAAAAGACCAUCUCUAAAGACUAUUGUUACAUAGUCAAUCACUAUUCUUACUGUACUUCUACAAUCAGGCCAAGUUUAAUGCAAACAAAUUAGUUUUAUGAUGAUUAUCAUUGGUAAAAGAUGGGGGCAACAGCAGAGACAAAAAUUUUAUUUGCACUUUUGUCUAUAUUAGAUUAUGAGCCUGUUAAUUGUCUUUGACCUUUUGUUACAUACCUGUAAAUUGAAUUGGAUCCUGAAUUCUUCUAGUUUCCUCAAAUAUCUGGCUACCAAGACUUAUGAAACUAAUGUUUCCAAUUUUCCUCUCACCCUCCUGAUUUGUAAUUGCUAAGAACAAAGACUGCCCUUGAAUCUUCUUGGAAGGGGCUAUACCAGGUCCUUCUCACUACCCAGAAAACAGUGAAACCUCAGGCACAUGAACCCUGGACACACAUUUCAUCUGCAUAUCUGGUCCUGUGCAAAAACUAAAGACCUCCAAAUCAGACUGACUAGGAAGAGAAGGAGCUGACAGGAAGGUAGACUGCUUCCUCCUGAUAUACCAGAUCAAGACUUCCCACUUUUUUUUUUUUUUUAAUUUAUUUAAGUAGGCUCCAUGCCCAGCAUGGAGCCCAACGUGGGGCUUGAACUCACAACCCUGAGAUCAAGACCUAGGCUAUUAUCAAGAGUUGGACACUUAACCAACUAAGCCACCCAGGCACUCCAAGAUUUCAUACUUUAACUAAGCAUACUUUCCUUCCUUUACUCUUAUCUGACCUGAAAAAAUGCUGUCACAUCUGUAACUCCCAGGCCAUUGCUAAGGGAGAUAACCUCUGGAAUUUAGAACUUUUAUUUCAAGUUAGGAGAAAACCUAACUGAUCUCUGGUUUGAAUGGGCAAAUGCAACAAUCUUUGUGAAUGAAUCCAUUAACAGUACCACCUUAGUGGAAGUGUUUACUCAACAGGAUUUUUAAAAAAAAUAUUAUAUUUAUUUAUUCAUGAGAGACACAGAGAGAGAGAGAGGCAGAGACACAGGCAGAGGGAGAAGCAGGCUCCACGCAGGGAGCCCGAUGCGGGACUCAACCCGGGGUCUCCAGGAUCAGGCCCCGGGCUGAAGGCAGGUGCCAAACCGCUGAGCCACCCGGGCUGCCCUCAACAGGAUUUAUUUAUCUUUGUAAUGACUAUCAUUCUCCUUGGGCCUAUGAAUGCCUAGAUGGCUAUUGCAUUAACAGGACAAUGCCUCUUAGGGUUAUUCAAUUAUGUCCCUGUUACACCUCAUUGGUCAACUCCCCUGAAUUUACACUGUCAAAUUAGAAAGGAACUACCAGGUCAGCUGUUGAGAAGUUGGCAGAGUAGGACCCGAAGCUCACCUCUUCCGUAGAUACAACUAGAUAACAUUCAUAUCAGAAUAACCCAGAAAACAAUUGAAAAAAAAAAAAAAAA
rnacentral:lncRNA from 1 species